UACGGAGGGAGCUAGCGUUGUUCGGAAUUACUGGGCGUAAAGCGCGCGUAGGCGGCUUUGUAAGUUAGAGGUGAAAGCCCGGAGCUCAACUCCGGAACUGCCUUUAAAACUGCAUCGCUUGAAUCCAGGAGAGGUGAGUGGAAUUCCGAGUGUAGAGGUGAAAUUCGUAGAUAUUCGGAAGAACACCAGUGGCGAAGGCGACUUACUGGACACAUAUUGACGCUGAGGUGGCGAAAAGCGUGGGGAGACAAACAGGG
rnacentral:rRNA from 1 species